rnacentral:lncRNA from 1 species
GGUCCUCUGUUAUCCUCUUCUAUAGAGAUGAGGAAAUGUAUAUUAUCUUGGUUACCAGUAACCGCUGCAGAGAAUUAUGGCCCACGAUGAGUUAUAGGUAAUGAGCAAUUAAUGGUAUUAAGUAAUGUACCAUAUUUCAUUGUAACCAUUGAGAGCUUUAUUGAAACUAUCUGACAUUUAAGAGAUAUGAGGCUGGCCCGCAUUCUCUUUGUAAUGACUCAAUGUCUGAAGGUUUUCUGAAGUCGUCAACAUAAGUUUGACCAAG